UGUGUGUCAUAACGGAUAGGAUCGAUAUCCGUUUUUAAAAAUAUCAGUAUAUGUGAUUUGAUCCGUCUUUGACGGAUAUUGAAUUUUGGUAUUUAUUUAAGUUACGGAUAUCCAGAUUUUUCUUAUCGAAUCAAAACGAAUAACGAAUCAAAUCAAAACUUAUGCAUAUUACUUUUUUUGUUUGUAACCAAAUAAUUAUUAAGGUUGAUUUUAUAUAUAUUUUACUGACUCUUUGUCUGUAUCAGAUAUAUAUUGACUAGUAUGAUC
rnacentral:lncRNA from 1 species